GACGAACGCUGGCGGCGUGCUUAACACAUGCUAGUCGAACGGAAAGGCCCAGCUUGCUGGGUACUCGAGUGGCGAACGGGUGAGUAACACGUGGGUGAUCUGCCCUGCACUCUGGGAUAAGCCUGGGAAACUGGGUCUAAUACCGGAUAUGAUCAACUGUCGCAUGGUGGUUGGUGGAAAGCUUUUGCGGUGUGGUAUGGGCCCGCGGCCUAUCAGCUUGUUGGUGGGGUAAUGGCCUACCAAGGCGACGACGGGUAGCCGACCUGAGAGGGUGAGCGGCCAGGCUGGGACUGAGACACGGCCCAGACUCCUACGGGAGGCAGCAGUGGGGAAUAUUGCACAAUGGGCGCAAGCCUGAUGCAGCGACGCCGCGUGAGGGAUGACGGCCUUCGGGUUGUAAACCUCUUUCACCAGGGACGAAGCGUGAGUGACGGUACCUGGAGAAGAAGCACCGGCCAACUACGUGCCAGCCGCCGCAGUAA
rnacentral:rRNA from 1 species